GGGUCAAGCUUGUUACCAUCUAGGUCUAAUGGAAGACACAAUAAUUCUACUCCAAACCAGUAAAAGCCUUGCCACGGCGGCGCUCCACCGCGAAAGCUACUGCUUGUCCGACGACAGUUUCAUCCUUUCCACCUCCGCAUCUCAGCCUCCAUCAAUGACCGAAUCCGAGAUCGUCUCGCAAAUGCUCUCCCAAAUCAAAAUCUUCAUCUGACGGCGCACGGCAGCGCUCGCAGCAUUCGACGCCGGUCUCUACUCCGAGUCGAUCCGCCAUUUCUCUAAGAUCGUAGAAAGCCGUCGCGGCGCACCGCAGAGUUUCCUCGCCUAUUGCUUAAUCCGUCGCGCCUCCGCCUGUAAGUCUGCAUGUCGUCUCUUUAUCUUCUUCUCUUCUCCAUUGCUCACUUAAUUGAUUGUAAAUUCAGUUUUUGUUAUAAUAGAUCUGGAAGCCUUACUCGAUUUGAAGAGUUUUCUGAAUUUUGUUUGUACGCAUCACUUGUAUAGCCCCUGGAGAUAUCAGCCCUGUUCGUUAGGAGAUCGUGAGCGACCACACCGGUCUUAUUCAGUCGCUGUAUUUUUGUUUUCAUAGAGCUUAUUCCCCAGAUUUUCGGUCGCAGAUCUCUAAAACUAAAACGAAUAUAGAAACUCUUCAAGGUGCGUUAUACCCGGCACCUUAGUUAAAUAUGGAGAGGUUGUUCAUGUUUGACAACUGUCAAGAACGAUGACAAGCUUGAGUUCAGCAAGAUCCUUGAGGCAUGGCAAUUGUUAUUGGUCUCUGCAUAUGCGUUGUGACUCUAUGAAAAAAUAGAGAGUUCACAAAGCCAAAGGCUCUAAGGUGAUCUGUUGAUGGAAUGGCGUUGGCUGUUAAAUGGUAUGAGUUGGAGAUCUACUAGAGCUGCCUCGGUUUCUUUAUGACUUGGUUUGGUGAAGAAAUGUACUUGCGUUUUUUUUUCUUUAUGACUUGGUUGGUGAUUCAAGCCUUUGUAUCUUUUGGGUAUUUGAUAGAAUGAUUCUUUG